rnacentral:rRNA from 1 species
AUGAUGUUUGCAGCAGUCGAUAACCCAUCUAAUGCGGUUGAGUGGGCACUUGCUGAGAUGAUGAACGUGCCAGAGAUCAUGCAAAAAGCAACUGAGGAACUCGACACCGUUGUCGGUAAAGAUAGACUAGUCCAAGAGUCUGACAUUCCUCGGCUAAACUAUCUCAAAUCGUGCAUCCGAGAGGCCUUCCGCAUACACCCAUACCAUGCUCUUAAUGUACCCCAUGUCGCCAUGGCGGACACAACUAUUGCUGGCUACACCAUCCCCAAGGAUAGCCACAUACUUUUAAGCCGGCUUGGACUUGGCCGCAAUCCCAAGAUCUGGACUGAACCACUGCAGUUUCAGCCUGAGAGGCAUUUGAACACUGCGAAUGUACUUCUCACUGAUCCAGGCCUACGUUUCAUUUCAUUUAGCAGUGGGAGGAGGGGUUGUCCUGGGAUUUCACUUGGUACCUCUAUGACAAUGAUGUUGUUCGCAAGGAUGUUGCAGGGAUUCACUUGGACAAAGCUUCCCGGUGUGAAGAGUAUCAGUCUUCAAGAAGGGAAUGCGGGCCUUGCACUAGCUAAACCCCUUGUUCUGCAAGCUACACCACGUUUGGCUGCACAUCUCUAUAUAUGA